rnacentral:rRNA from 1 species
GUGAGGAAUAUUGCGCAAUGGAGGCAACUCUGACGCAGCCAUGCCGCGUGCAGGAAGAAGGCGCUACGCGUUGUAAACUGCUUUUAACUGGGAAGAAACCCCAGGACGUGUCCUGGGUUGACGGUACCGGAGGAAUAAGCACCGGCUAACUUCGUGCCAGCAGCCGCGGUAAUACGAAGGGUGCAAGCGUUAUCCGGAUUCAUUGGGUUUAAAGGGUGCGUAGGCGGAGCGUUAAGUCAGUGGUGAAAUCCUGCAGCUUAACUGUAGACUUGCCAUUGAUACUGGCGCUCUUGAGUGCGCUUGAAGUGGGCGGAAUGUGCCGUGUAGCGGUGAAAUGCUUAGAUAUGGCACAGAACACCAAUUGCGAAGGCAGCUCACUAAGGCGAUACUGACGCUGAGGCACGAAAGCGUGGGGAUCGAACAGGAUUAGAUACCCUGGUAGUCC